UUACGGCCACAUCAGGUUGAAACACUGGUGUCCAUACGAUCACUGAAGUUAAACAAUGUCAAGCCUGGUGAGUACCUAGAUAGGUGACCACUUAGGAAUACCAGGUGCUGUAAG